rnacentral:lncRNA from 1 species
CCACAAACAGCUGCAGCUCGUGGACGUGUUCAAAGCAUCUGCAUAUCUCGCAGGAGCCAGAGGGAGAGUUUGAACCUGAAUGGGGUUGUUGUUCCUCGCGUCCAGGGACAUCUACUCUACCCCAGCUUGUUAGAAAGUUCACUCCUUGCUCUGUUUUUACCUUCAGGCGAAAUUAACCAGCCUUAUCCACUGACGGAAGACCAACUGCAUCUGCAUAUAGCUGUAAAAUUUCAUUUGGUCUUGCGGUGUCAUGAUUGUGCGCGCUCACUAAAAUGUCUGGUUGCCAUGGCAACAGCGGCAGCAUCACGGGGCUGCUGGGUGCGCUCUGCGACUGCAGCCUCUCCGGGAUAUCAUGGAAACAUCACGCUCUGGGCCCAGAGUCUCAGUGUCAGACCCUGCGCCAGCAUGCGUAUGGCGUGCUCCUCGACGCACUCUUCUAAGAUGGGUCACCCAAAUGGCCACCGGGUGAAUACGGUGUGUCCGGUCUGCAAGAGGAGGAGGUUGGCGUAGUGGCGUGGAGGAGAGGGCGUAGUCUUUGAUCUGUGGGAGGAAUGGGGCGAUUUUUGGGGUGUCUGUAGGACCCUGAGCAUUAUGGACGCCCUCCCGGGCACUGGGCUGCUCUGACUAAGACGCAGACCAGAUACCGAGGAGAGGUUUGAAAGAGAGACCCGACUGUCACUGUUUGGUGCCCUACAGCACUCCAGAACAGCAGAUAUGGACGUCCGACUGGACCUGCCGCCUGUUUCAAGCAACGUAGACCUUACUGGACUCAGUAUACGGGCGGAGAUGCUAAAUUCAUCCAGUACAAGUGUUUUCUCAUUAAAACUGUCUUACCUGGUAUCUUAUAUGCUCUCGUUUCUGCAGGUUCCUCUGUGUCUGGAUCAGUCUGAUGAGGAAGGCUUCUAGUCCGCCUCUAAUCUGACUCCAGAUUCUCCAAUCCAAGAUGAGUCCCCAUCCUGAGAUCGACGUGUGGGAGGCCCUGCGGACGUUUGUGCCCGGCAGACGACGCUGUUGGGAGAACACUGGCUGGUGAGAGAGAGUCGAGCAUGCUGGCAGUGGUCUGAUUUGAUUGUGAUUCUUUCAAAUCUGCACCAAAACAAUGAAACUGAAUUGACAAGUUUCAAUUCAUAAUUAUUUUCAAAAACACUUUUAUCAGACAAAAGUGUAUAACACUUUGACGCUUUAACACUUAUAAUUUCAAAAACCUGGUCUAAAGGCUUAUUUUUAAAUGUCUGAAAUUAUUUUCCCAGACAAAUGUAAUUACUUAAAACCACUGAAUAAUUGUUGCUGGAAAUAAAGUAAAUGUUGACUGAAAAAAAAAAAAGAUUUUAUAGUGUGUGUGUCUGUGUGAAAUAUUUAUAUAAAAUAUAAAUACUUAUAUAAGUAUACAUGAACACUUAAAAUGUGUAUUAUUAUUAAAAUGUGUCAUUUAAAAUUGUAAAUGUAAAAUUAAUUCAAAAUGUUUCAGAACUUUCCCAGUUGGGUUAGCAGAAAAAAAAUCCUUGUUGAUGAGUGCUGAUUGUUAUAAUGAUUGGACAUCAGGACAAAGAAAAGUAAAAUAGAUGUAAAAAUGUAGUCCUUAAAGUGAGUUUCAGCAGAUAAUGUCUACUUCAUCAGUUAAUGUCUUUAUAUGUGUGCUGAUCAGGUAUCUGUCAGAGCUGUGUUGUGUGGAUGGAGUGGUAAGAAACACUCUCUUCACACGCUUGAAAUACUUCUGUCAGAGACAUCAGCUUUCAAGUGGAGUUUGAAGACAUUGUUUUCAGCUCAGAAGUGUUGUAGACAGGUGGAUGUUGCAGGUCUGUGGUGGUGUUUGUGUAAUUGGCAGUGUGAUGUGUGUGUGUGUGUGUUUAGGGUGUAAAGCUGUUAUCGUAUCUGUAUAAUGAAGCUCAGAGUAACUGCAGUAAUAAGUAAUGCUGAAGAGCAGUUGUGAGCCGUACACACGGUGAGAAACUCAUCUCCUUUUGCUUUUUAUUUAUUUAUCUAUUAUUCAGCUCCGGAAGGUCACUUAGGAGCAGAGUGUUUUUUGAAACCCUAUAUUUUGCCAGUGACUGAUACCAUGAAAUGGUAGGGAGAUGCUAUAGUGUCUGACUGGCAUUUAAAUGCACAAUGCAGAUACUCUGCUAUUAUUUACUCACCUUCAUGUUGGAACUAAACCCGUAUGCUGUUAUUCUUCUUAUGCAAUGUGAAUGGAGAAUCAUCACACUGCCCUUUUCCUCAUAAAAGGUUGUGAAGUCCCAAAAACAAAAUUGAUAAUCUUGCCCUCUGCAGAAGCUCUGAAUUAAUAUUUGCAUUCACACUCCGUUUCAGAAAUGCCUCAUUGAUGAGUUUGAUGUCACACAAUAAUGGAAAUUUGCUGAAAAUGUAACUCACCCUCAGACUAGAUAGGUUUUUUUCAGUUUGAUAGUCACACAAUAAUGGAAAUUUGCUGAAAAUGUACUCACCCUCAGACUAGUAUAGGUUUUUUUUCAUAGGAACAGAUUUGGAGAAAUGUAGCAUUACAUCACUUACUCACCAGUGGAUGCUCUGCAGUGAAUGGGUGCCGUCAGAACGAGAGUCCAAACAGCUGAUAAAAACAUCACAAUAAUCCACAAGUAAUCCACGUUGACUCCAGUCUAUCAAUUAAAUGCUACUGCUAAAAGCUUUGGGGUCCAUAAGAUUUUUUUUUGUUUGUUUUUAGUCUCUUAUGCUCAUCAAGGCAGCAUUUAGUUUAUGGAAGAAAAAAGAAACAGUAAUGUGAAAUAUUAUUGCAAUUUAGAAUAAUGGUUUUCUAUUUGAAUAUAUUGUAAAAUGUAAUUUAUUCCUGUGAUGCAAAGCUGAAUUUUCAGCAUCAUUACUCCAGUCUUCAGUGUCACAUGAUCCUUCAGAAAUCAUUCUAAUAUGCUGAUUUGCUGCUCAAGAAACAUUAUUAUCAUUAUCAAUGUUGAAAACAGUUUUGCUGCUUUAUAUGGUUUAGUGAAAAUUGUGAUACUUUUUUCCCUCAGGAUUCUUUGAUGAAUAGAAAGUUCAAAAGAACAGCUAGUUUUUUUUUUCUUUUGUCUUUACUGUCACUUUUGAUCAGCUUAAUGCAUCCUUGCUGAAUAGAGGUAUUAAUCUAUCAAAAAUAAAAAAUAUAUAUAUAUAUCGUACUGACCCCAAACAUUUGAACUGUACUCUCAAUGUACAAUAAAUUAAGUAAUAAUAAAUAAAUAUACAUUUUAUUGGAGAGAAUUAUAACGACAUCGGAAGUUCCCAUCUAACUCCAUCAAUCCACUGAACAGCACUCUAUCUUCUGGUGGGAUGUCCCGGGGCCCAGGAUCACUGUGACGUUUUCCCUGCAGGAAGUAGAGGAGAUUUAGAGAGACUGCGCUUUGUACAGAGGACGAAUGGAGACUAUCGCCAGACGCAGGGAGGAGCAGGUACUGCACCAGGUACUGCACCUGUCAUCCUGCUGAUUGAAUGAUUUGUGGAGAUUUGUUUUGGAGAUGUUGAUAGUUUGUAAAUGAAUGAUGAUGUAGCUCAUCCAGGUUAAAUGUUUAUAUGUCUACAGCAUGCUUCCUGAAUUCAGAGCCAAUAACGGGGCAGAGCCGGUGCUGUUGGCAUGGCAACAGAUGAAAUUUUAAAAGCCGGUCCAUUAACCCAGUUUCAUCAGGACACUCUGACCUGGGCUAAAAUCUGCUUUAUUGUUUUGUGCUGAAGUCUGUCUUCCUUCAUUUUCACUCUCUCUCUCUAACUUGUGUUUUGUCAGGCCUUGCGGACUGAACAGGCCAGACAGGAGCUCAUUAACCAGGGCAGAGUGUCAGCGGCCAAGACCCUGGAGAGAAUCAGAGGUCAGAAAUCUGUCAUGAACGCACACACAUGCACCUGAUGCUGUUAGCAGCUUCUGUCUGGGUAAAAUUAGUUGUGCGUAGCCAGACUUGACUUUCAUCAUAGUUCCAUGUCCCAAAUAGCACCCUUCUAAAUUAUGAAAUAAGAAAUGGGAUACUCUGUGGGCCUGCAAGUUCACGUUGAGUAAGCCAUUUAGGACAGAACCACAUUGCUGCUUAUCCUGGCCAAAAGCCACAGGAAGGUGUGUGUGUGUGUAUNNNNNNNNNNNNNNNNNNNNNNNNNNNNNNNNNNNNNNNNNNNNNNNNNNNNNNNNNNNNNNNNNNNNNNNNNNNNNNNNNNNNNNNNNNNNNNNNNNNNNNNNNNNNNNNNNNNNNNNNNNNNNNUGUGUGUGUGUGUGUGUGUGUGUGUGUGUGUGUGUGUGUGUGUGUGUGUGUGUGUGAGUGUAUAUUGUAUAUAUUGUAUAUAUAUAUAUAUAAAUUAAAAAUAUUAUUUCAGCUAAUUGCUAAGGCAAUUUACAUUUCUAACUAAAACUAAAUAUUCUAAAACUGAAACCUAAAAAAAAAUUAAUUAAUAAAAAUCA